rnacentral:rRNA from 1 species
UGAGUAACCUGCCCCUGGCUUUGGGAUAACCAUCGGAAACGGUGGCUAAUACCGAAUAUUCACUUUGGACCGCAUGGUUUUUUGUGGAAAGUUUUUCGGCUGGGGAUGGGCUCGCGGCCUAUCAGCUUGUUGGUGGGGUGAUGGCCUACCAAGGCGACGACGGGUAGCCGGCCUGAGAGGGCGACCGGCCACACUGGGACUGAGACACGGCCCAGACUCCUACGGGAGGCAG